rnacentral:rRNA from 1 species
CCAGCAGCUGCGGUAAUUCCAGCUCCAAUAGCGUAUAUUAAAGUUGUUGCAGUUAAAAAGCUCGUAGUUGGAUCUCGGGAGCCAGCUUGUGGUACGCUUGAUUGCUGUCACUGCUUGUCUGGCCCUAAUCAAUCGGUUGGCCGUUUAUGCCCUUCACUGGGUGUUUACGGUAGCCGAUGCGUUUACUUUGAGAAAAUUAGAGUGCUUAAAGCAGGCCUUACGCCUGAAUAAUGUUGCAUGGAAUAAUAGAAUAGGACCUCGGUUCUAUUUUGUUGGUUUUGUAGAGCAUUGAGGUAAUGAUUAAUAGGGACAGACGGGGGCAUUCGUAUUGCGGUGUUAGAGGUGAAAUUCUUGGAUCGCCGCAAGACGAACAACUGCGAAAGCAUUUGCCAAGAAUGUUUUCAUUAAUCAAGAACGAAAGU